ACUUGGGCUGCAAGUUAUUUUUAAGAUGGGUCGCUUUUUGUUUCUCCUCUCCAUUCUCGUCAUCGUAGAAGCCCAGAAAAUCGAUCAACCAGCCCAGGUAAAUCAGACGUCCUGCGAUUUGGCCCGUUCAGCAAAUCUAACAACGGCAAACAGUACUAUUUUUCUCCAGUCAAAUCGUUUGAUCAGAAAAACUACACAAAUGCGAACAAGAGUUGCGUCGAGAUGGGCCUCCAUUUUUUCAGCGUGAGGAACCAAAAAGAGCUGGAAAUUCUGCAUAUGCAGGCAGCAGUGAUACUUGAUGAUGUCUUGCCGUGGUGGGUGUCGGCCAGAAACUACGGAAAAGAUGACGAUCAUUUGGACUUCCGUUGGCAGGACGGAUCGAAAUUUGAGGAAAAUAGUAGGUUGUGGGCUCCGGACCCUGCCUGCAGUACCAGAAGAGCCUGCGUCGAAAUUGGAACGACUGAUUUAAGAAAACUCUUUUGCGGCACUUGCCUUUUCCCUAAAAACUAUAUUUGCGAGUUGCCUCCAGAAUGUUACUGAAAAAAACAUUCGAAAUUUUUAAUUUGAUUAUUUUGCUACACUUUACUCUCAUGAUUCUUGCUGUGUAACACGAUUUAGUAAUUUAAGAUAUUAAUCAUAGUUGGAUUAGUAGACAACAAUUAUACUGAUGAUUCGAGACAAAACUUUUAUUAUGUAAUUUGGCGUUUGUUUGUUUUCAAAUUUUCGUAUCGAGCACAAAGGGCGGUGAGAUUGACCUGAUAACAAUUCAUUGUCAGUGCAUUCAUCAAGAGACGAUGGACCGAUUUUGGAUGUCGUGUGUGGCCAUCCUCCACGCAGAAACCAAUAUACUGAUUCACAAAAACAAUUUAGCCUUAAAUAAAAAAUUCCCUAAAUAAAGUAAAAAUUUUGGUAUAUUAUCUACCCAACGUGUGCAGCCUAACCAGUUAAGUAAAUGGAAUAUUAGACAAUUUUGAAAUAGCGUGUGCAGCUUUUGUGGAUUCACACUGUAUGUUACUAAUUCUAUUUUUAUUUUAUUAAAUAAAUUUUAAAAUACAUGAGUUGU